AUUGAACGCUGGCGGCAUGCCUUACACAUGCAAGUCGAACGGUAACGGGCCUUCGGGUGCCGACGAGUGGCGAACGGGUGCGUAAUACAUCGGAACGUGCCCGAUCGUGGGGGAUAACGAGGCGAAAGCUUUGCUAAUACCGCAUACGAUCUACGGAUGACAGCAGGGGACCGCAAGGCCUUGCGCGGACGGAGCGGCCGAUGGCAGAUUAGGUAGUUGGUGGGAUAAAAGCUUACCAAGCCGACGAUCCGUAGCUGGUCUGAGAGGAUGAUCAGCCACACUGGGACUGAGACACGGCCCAGACUCCUACGGGAGGCAGCAGUGGGGAAUUUUGGACAAUGGGCGCAAGCCUGAUCCAGCCAUGCCGCGUGCAGGAUGAAGGCCUUCGGGUUGUAAACUGCUUUUGUACGGAACGAAAAGCCUUCUUUUAAUACAGGAGGGUCAUGACGGUACCGUAAGAAUAAGCACCGGCUAACUACGUG
rnacentral:rRNA from 1 species